UGCAAGUCGAACGGAAGUCGUUGUAAUGAAAUGGAAAUGGACAGAGAACUUGUUCGAAGAAAGUUGAAGUAGACUUACAACAAUGGCUUUAGUGGCGGACUGGUGAGUAACGCGUAAGGAACCUGCCUUUUAGAGGGGAAUAACAAUGAGAAAUCAUUGCUAAUACCGCAUAUGCCGAGAGAAUCACAUGGUACAAUCGGGAAAGGAGCAAUCCGCUAAAAGAUGGCCUUGCGUCUGAUUAGAUAGUUGGUGGGGUAACGGCCUACCAAGUCGACGAUCAGUAGCCGGACUGAGAGGUUGAACGGCCACAUUGGGACUGAGAUACGGCCCAGACUCCUACGGGAGGCAGCAGUCGGGAAUAUUGCGCAAUGGAGGAAACUCUGACGCAGUGACGCCGCGUAUAGGAAGAAGGUUUUCGGAUUGUAAACUAUUGUCGUUAGGGAAGAGAAAGGACAGUACCUAAGGAGGAAGCUCCGGCUAACUACGUGCCAGCAGCCGCGGUAAUACGUAGGGAGCGAGCGUUAUCCGGAAUUAUUGGGUGUAAAGGGUGCGUAGACGGGAAGAUAAGUUAGUUGUGAAAUCCCUCGGCUUAACUGAGGAACUGCAACUAAAACUGUUUUUCUUGAGUGCAGGAGGGGUAAGUGGAAUUCCUAGUGUAGCGGUGAAAUGCGUAGAUAUUAGA
rnacentral:rRNA from 1 species